GCGGUAUCAAACUUCAAAAAGAAUAGGAAAUGCACAGCACAGAACGUAUGGUGUCUUCAAAUCCUUGUUCUAGUAAUAGCAUGCCAGCAAAGCAGUCACUCAAACUUAAAGAGAGACCUUCCAAUAAAAACUUUGCUUUCCAUCUGUGUGAAUCUAUGGGUGGUUGUUGUAGGGAGCGAGUGUCUGCUUUGCUGGCAUGGUCUCACUAGAAUAAGGAUUUGAAGACUCCAUAUCUUUAGUUCUAUGCUUGGCCUUUCCUAUUUUCUUUGAACUUUGAUACCCCUUGUUCUGACUUUUUAAAUCCACAGUCUUUAUGUCAUGACUGUUAGUUCUCAUGAAGUUUGACACCCCUUUAUCAAUAGAUCAUUUUUGCCACAUCAUCAUUUGUAGGAGUCCUUUUGUAUUCAUAUGAGUGGUUAUACUGCAGGUCACAGCUCACGACAACUCGUUCCUUACCUUAACGGUAAGCUUGAAUUCCCAAAAAAUCCAUAUGAUUGGUCCAUUUACUGUUUCAGACAAAUGAAUGAUAUUCUAAAAGGCUGUUGAUUUUACGGAUCGAGUAUCUCUUGAAUCCCAAGUACAAGAGAAAAAGAGAAACUCUCAUGCACCCGUGCAGCUUGGCGGAUGAAAAUUGCAGCAGUCUGCAUCUUCAAGUGGCCUCCAGCGCACCACUAGAGAUCCUGAUCCUAGCAAGGAUGAAUCAAGAGGAAUUGUUGGUAUCAAGUUCUACAGUUGUUCAAAAUGCUUCCAAAUCAUUGAAUGGGAGGGCUAUAGUUCCCAUGUAACCGUAUUGCUUGUCAGUAGCAUUCCUGAAAAGGAUCCUCCUUGCCUUUUUAAUCAAAACCAUGCUGACAUCGCGCACGCCGAUGAUGAAAAAACCUGAAAACUAUAGAGGAUCAAAGAAUCGUGAUAAGAGCAUUGUGACAGAAAUCUGGAGGAGUUCAUUUGGAUGGGCGAAAGUGGCAUAGAAAAAAAGAAAGACCAUGGAGACUGCCAGGAGAAUCUAGUGCACCAUGAAAGCUAUCUUGCAACAUCUGUACAACCUCCUGUUAUGAUCCAGCAUGUGCAACACCAGGCACUGGUGGCAGCUGUACAACCACCAACAUCAUCGAAAAGUACUUAGGUUCCACCGUGAUCGGGAUACGGAAUCAGCGGAUGAAUGUGUCUUAUAAGGGCAAAUCAUUUUCUCGUUCAGGUUGCUGAUCGAGAUCUAAAUCAUCAUGAUGUGCUUAAGCUGCUAGAACGGAAUGGAUCACACUGGUGAAGCAUCUGAGGGCCAUGGAUAUGAAGGCAUUAAUGUAAUGAUUGAGAUAACAGUGAAAACUAUGGAUUCUCAAACACACAAUUUGCGCAAUAGUAAUCAGGUGCUUGAUGAUA